rnacentral:rRNA from 1 species
AGGACGAACGCUGGCGGUGUGCUUCACACAUGCAAGUCGAACGGGGUAGCAAUACCCAGUGGCGGACGGGUGAGUAACGCGUAGGAAUCUGCCUUAAGAUGGGGGAUAGCAGACCGAAAGGUCUAUUAAUACCGCAUAUGUAUACAGCCCGACAGGGCAGUAUAUGAAAGGAGUAAUCCGUCUUUAGAUGAGCCUGCGUCCGAUUAGCUAGUUGGUGGGGUAAGAGCCUACCAAGGCGACGAUCGGUAGCUGGUCUGAGAGGACGAUCAGCCACACUGGGAUUGAGAACGGCCCAGACUCCUACGGGGGCAGCAGCGAGGAAUUUUCCGCAAUGGACGCAAGUCUGACGGAGCAACGCCGCGUGCAGGAUGAAGGUUUUCGGAUCGUAAACUGCUUUUCUCGGGGACGAGCAAGGACGGUACCCGAGGAAGAAGCCCCGGCUAACUACGUGCCAGCAGCCGC